CUCUCUACCUGUAACUCAGGAAGACCAGCUCCCUGACUGCCUUCUGUGCUAGGGAUCACUUCCUUAUUGAGUGGGACCUGAGUUUAGAUAGGGUGUUCUGCUCCUCUUCAUCUGGCCCCUUUCCUUCCAAGGCCCCAGAGAGGAAGGCAUGGGGUGGGCACUAGCCCUGCUUCUAGCUUUCCUGCCUCCUGCCAGUCAGAAAUCUUCCAACUUGGAAGGGAGAAUGAAGACAGUCACUGGAACAACAGGGUCAUCUGCUGUAAUCACUUGUAAUCUUCCUGGAGAAAAUAUCUUAUACAUCCACUGGUACCUCCACCAGGAGGGGAAGGCCCCACAGCGUCUUCUGUACUGUGACACCUACAACGCCAGGGUUAUGUUGGAUUCAGGAAUCAGUCCAGGGCAGAUGGAUAGCUAUGCAAUCAUGAGGAGGAGCUCGAAAUUGAUAGUGCAAAAUCUAAUUGAAAAUGAUUCUGGGGUCUAUUAUUUUGCCACCUGGGACAGGCACAGUGGUUCAGACCUGCCUACACCACACUGAAAUCUGCCUUGUGGCAGCUUGUAGUACAGAAGAUAGAGCUGUCCCCUCUCAUUUCCUGCCACUGAAUUUACUGUAGUCUGUACAAAGAGAAGCACAGUUUUACUCCUGACUUCCCCCUAAUAUCACACUCCCUGGCAGCAGCUGCACCUGUUCCCCACCUCUCCCCGAGGACUUUCCUGAAGACCAAGCUGCCAUCUCCAGGCCUCAGCUAAGCAGCCUGCCUGAGAGCAAGGUUCUCUCAGCUCUCCUAGGACAUGGGUGAGGCCCACUCAGUCAGCUCCCUAGUGUCCAGCUGUCAAGAGAGAGAUUUUGGACAGAAAAUGGGAAGGAUAUUUAUACUGGAUCAUGUAUCCAGUCAUUGUCUAGAGAUUGCAGCUUUGAGUGGUGUUCAUCUCCUAUGUCUAUAGCAAUAUAAGGAGUAAUAUAAUUACCACUAAAUUACUCGGCCUAGAUGUGCAGUUGAACCUUCUCUCCCACUGCCCUCCUUAUUCUUUCUCUGCUUUC